rnacentral:misc_RNA from 1 species
UGUUUCCAGCUGCAAGCAGGCACCUACCACGUCAAGAAAGGAUUCAGUUGGGGAGUUGCUGCUUAAUAUCCCAAGGAUUGCCUCCCACCCACAAUUUUUGUAUAAUAUGUAGGGAGAUUCAGAUCAAGAAUUGGAAAGAACGAUGGAUUCUGCCACUUUCAACUGGUCGUGGACAGGAUAUGUGGAUUUUGUGUUUUGCAGUUUACUUUUUGUAAAUUGUAGAAG